rnacentral:rRNA from 1 species
UACGGGGGGGGCGAGCGUUGUUCGGAUUUAUUGGGCGUAAAGGGUGCGUAGGCGGCGGAGUAAGUUGGGUGUGAAAUCCCGGGGCUUAACCUCGGAAUUGCAUUCAAUACUGCUUCGCUUGAGUACUGGAGAGGAGGCUGGAAUUUACGGUGUAGCAGUGAAAUGCGUAGAUAUCGUAAGGAAGGCCGGUGGCGAAAGCGAGCCUCUGGACAGUUACUGACGCUGAUGCACGAAGGCCAGGGGAGCAAACGGG